UGUAAAUCAUGUUUGCGAACAAAUUGAAAACACGAUUAGUUCUUUUUCAUAUUGGUGACAAUUGUAACAUAAAUUUAACUUGUUACUAAGGCUGCAGUGCCAAAUCUAGAUUAUUAUUGUAGUCAUUUUUAAAUAUAAGAAACAAUAAGAAAUAUUAUUUUACAUUUUUACUGAAAUUAAAUUAUAUGGUACACAAUAAUGUUGCUUUGUCAUCAUCAGCUUUUACACACUCGAGCCUGCAAAAUACAAUGAACUUUGGAUCGGGAUUUAAUCAUCGGAAACGACUGCCCUAUCUAUGCAUCUGGAGCGAAAUUUUCAAAUAAUCCUUGGACCGAUAUAAAAUCCUCCUGCCGGAAGUGGCGCCAUGUUCUAUUCAAACUCGACGAGGCAAACGUGAAAUCCUUGAAAUGCAGCCGGUCGCAAAAGUGUUGCCACGCAGAAAAAUAGAUAAAUAAUUCACCGUUUUACCAGCUAAUAAAAUGUGAUAACAUUUUGUCUUGGGACUUUGAUAUUAUUUUAUUACUCGAGUAACUGUAAAUCGUUUUAACACAGCGACGAUUAGAAUCAUUAUUUAUCAAUUGCAAGGGUCUGACUGUUGAGAAACAGGAAACGUUCAGUUUCCAAGGGGUAAUCUUCGAUUACAACACACCUAAUACUAGAUUACGGGUACUGUUAAGAUUUCGAUACAGAGGGUCGAAUUCCGUGUAGAUUGAUACCUGUAUCAAUAAAAGAUAAGUUUGAAUAAUUCAUUUCACCGAUAACAGUUAUCUGAUAGUAGAUGCCGUUGAAGGAACACUAACGAUUUCCCUCAUGAUUCUAGGCAAUAUUGACUCCUUUGGCGGACAAGUGGAGUCAACUGGCCGUUCGAUUUGAUAAUCGUGAAAUUGUCGGACAAACAUCUGCGCCGAAUGGAUAAUUCGAGAAAGUUUUCGUAGACGAAAGUCGACCCGUAAGAUAAACCGAAAUGAACAGACGAAUCAGCCGAGAAAAGAAAAAGAAUCGCUUUCUCGUUUUUUCGGUAGGCGAGAUGGGUAGUCUCCAGCUCUAUUUACUCAGUUGACAUUUUCUCCUGUUACGAGCAACUGCUUAAACAGGUAAACAUUUGGCAGAGCUGGAGCAGUUCGGAGAUAUUUACAUAUAUCUGCCCGGUAUCUUUAUUUUCUCUCCCUUAUCUAAGAGGAUUUCUCGAC